GUCAAGGUUAGACAUAAUGAUGAAUGGCCUGAACUUCAGCUUGCAGGAGUUGCUAAGAAAAAUUGAACAGAACCUACCCUGGAAGAGAGAGCCCAGAGAAUUGCCAAAGCUGUCCGCAAACAGUCAAUAGAAGUGAAGGAAAAUUGGGAGCAAUUGAAAACCCGUGCGAGCAACUGGCAGAAACAGGUGGAAAAGGCGUUGGAGAAACUUCAACAACUGCAGAAAGCUCUGGAUGAUCUUGAGGCUCAUGUGAUAACAGCUGAGGGGGUCCACACUGAUCAGCAACCUGUGGGUGACCUGCUUAUUGACUCAUUGCAGGGUCACAUUGAUAAAACCACAUGGAUCUGUUGGAGUUGCACACAGCACAACGCGUCUUGGAUCAACACAAAUUGACACAAAACGAGCAACGUCGAAAUGUGACUGAAGUAAUCAACUGUUUGACGACCAUUUAUGAUGGUUUGGAACAAAAUCACUUGGUCAAUGUGUCACUCUGUGUCAACAUGUGUCUGAACUGG